rnacentral:rRNA from 1 species
GCCUACGGGGCGCAGCAGUGGGGAAUAUUGCGCAAUGGGCGAAAGCCUGACGCAGCGACGCCGCGUGAGGGAUGAAGGUCUUCGGAUCGUAAACCUCUGUCAGCGGGGAAGAACGGUCACUGUGCUAAUCAGCAGUGAAUUGACGGUACCUGCAAAGGAAGCACCGGCUAACUCCGUGCCAGCAGCCGCGGUGAUACGGAGGGUGCGAGCGUUAAUCGGAAUUACUGGGCGUAAAGCGCUCGUAGGCGGUAUGUCAAGUCAAGGGUGAAAUCCCCGCGCUCAACGUGGGUACUGCCUUUGAAACU